GCAAGUCGAGCGGAAACGAGAAUAGCUUGCUAUUCGGCGUCGAGCGGCGGACGGGUGAGUAAUGCUUGGGAAUAUGCCUUUGAGUGGGGGACAACAGUUGGAAACGACUGCUAAUACCGCAUAACGUCUACGGACCAAAGGGGGGGAUUCUUCGGAACCUCUCGCGCAUGGAGUAGCCCAAGUGAGAGUAGCUAGUGGGUAAGGUAAUGGAGUACCAAGGCGACGAUCUCUAGCUGGUUUGAGAGGAUGAUC
rnacentral:rRNA from 1 species